rnacentral:snoRNA from 1 species
AGGUCAUUACUAACUCUGCCUGGUGUUGCAGAAGUAAGGGGAACCAGGUUGACUAAAGUACCUGCAGUGAUUGGCGCAUAUUAACCCCAGGGCUACUGAGGUUGCCUAUUCUGUCCCAGUACAGUG